AGGGAAGGAACAGCAAAGGGCCUCUUGCAGAAACAGGGCAGGUCUGGCUUCCAGCUCCUCUGCGGACUAAGCAAUUGUGUGACCCGGGCAGGGCCUGGCCCGCAUUUGCACCACACUGGCGUUCUCUAAAACCAGGGCUGGGUUGGAGUCAGAUCUUCCAUCAGACAAGCACACCCUCAGCUCGGAUUUGCUUUGAAGGUCAGUGAUUUCCACUUCUGCUCUUCAAAACAACUGCACAGUUCUCCUGGGACCCAAAUGUUGAUUCUCUGCACUGAGGAUUGGGUCUCCCUCCACAAGAAGUACAUUCCAGAAAUAUCCAUCCAGCAACUCAAAAAGGCAAGACAUCCAGGAGGGUGAAAGAGUCACCAGGCCUGGGCCUUGUUUCCAGAUCACUUCUACUAGCGAGGACCCAACUCACUGAUGGAGGCCAAGGGACCUGUUCGACGCUCUUUGAGGCACCAAUCCCUCAUCUCUCUUUUAGACACUGAGGAAGGAGUGCUGCCAGUGGGUGGGGUCAAGCUAGUGAAGAAUUUUGAGCUAAGUAUUGAGGAAGAGGAGGAUUGAUGGAGGGAGACGAUUAGAGAGGGGCUUACCAGGAGGAUGGAACAGCUCGGGCAAAGGAGGAGAGGCUGGGCGAGUGGACAGUGAUUCUGAGGACUAUCUCGUGGUCUGUUGUGAGCUGGUGCGUGGGAUUUGGAGUUCGACGUGUGGAGAGAUGAAGCUGGAAAAGUAUGUGAUUGAGACCACAUUGUGAUGGGAUUUGAAGAGCUUGCUCAGGAGCCUGACUUUAUCCCCAAAGGACUGGGGGCCCCUGGAGGGUUAGAAGCAGAGCAGAGAUUUAGAGAUGCCCUCCUGGUGGUGAUGGAAGGGAUGGAGAGAGGAAUGAGGAAUGCUUGAAGGCUAAAGAGGAAUGAGGUUGCCCAGCGCUAGGAGAUGAAGCUGUCUGGGCUUCCCCAGAGAGACCAAGCAGGGCCUUAGCUCCCUGGCGAUAGAGGGAGAGAAUGGAGGCAGUGCGAGAGUAGGAAGGGGUCAAGAAAUCAGGUGAAAGGAAAUGCAAGUCUGACUCAGAGCAGUGGUGGUGGGAGGAGGACGAGCAGAGUCUGGGGACAGUUUCUUCUCCAAAAGGCCCUGACUGGGUUAGUCUUUGCUUAGAUGCUGGGUGGGAUUGUCAAAGGACCAUCAGGUUAGUGAUACCAGGUGCUAAAGACCAAUGUCAUGACUCCCUGUUUUUUAUCUUUUCAUUUUGAAAUAAUUUUAGAUUCACAGAAAGUGGCAAGAUAGUGCAGAGUGGUCCCUUCACUCUGCCUCCCCCAAAGGUUACAUCUUGCAGAAUUAUAGUAUGAUAUCAAAAGAGACACACGCUGUUUGACCUUCAAACCCAUGCAGCCCUUGCCUGGGUAUUUGGGCUCAUGUGCUAUGAGCUGUGGCUUGUUUGAAGCACUGGCCUGCUCUAGCCACCACGGUCCUUCCCUGGAGAUGGAAGGUCGAGCCCAAUCAGACAGGACAAGAGGCCUCGGGAGAGUCUGCCCCAUCCAUAGGCAGACCUGGAACUAGGUAGGUAGCUUUUGGCUCAGAAUCUGCAGAGCUGGGUUGAAUUGCGCUGACUCAAGCUGCAAGAUAGAAAUCCUGCCUCAGUUCCCCUUCUUAGCACUCCAGGUCCUGGCUGAACCUGGGAGCUGGUUCUGAACCCCAUCUUGCCUGGUUGAGCUGUGUGACCCCUCUCUAUCUUAUAGUAGUCACACCUCAAAGGGAUAUUCCUGCUCCCUGCCCCAUCCCAAAUCCCAGACUUGCUCCAGAGAUUACCCAGAAUACAGUAUCAUUGCCUAGAGGGUCUUAGAAUCACCAGGGGCCACUUGGCCUUCUUGAGACUAGGAACCAACCUCAACCAAGAUCAAGAUGGAUGCAUCCUUUUGAGCUCUGCAUGAAGUCCCCCUGGGACCCACCUGCUCACCUCUCUCCUGGCCUUGACUUUCUCCAGCUCCCUUGCCCCACAGAAGACGGGCCUGCUGAGAAGACGACCUUCUAGCACAGGACACCCCGCUAUCUCUGAGCUCUUUACCAGGGGUUCUGUGAUAAAGGCCUGGACGGGUCCUGGACUGGGAGGCAGAGCAUCUGGCCCCUCGUAUGGUCCAUCACUGACCUGCCACGUGACUCCAGGCAAAUGAUUAAAUCCUCUACUGGGGGCAGUCUCAACACUAACCACAAAUGACUGAGACCCACCAGAAGUUAUUGAACAAGGUUUGGAAAGUACAAUGCUGUAAAAAUUACAGAACUCUGUGGUUCAGACAUUCAAUCAGGUGCUAAUUCCCUCUCACAGUUUGAGUUCUACUGAUCACUUUCUUUACCCAUGAAGGAUAAUUAAUAAUGAAACUAUUUGCAGAGCUUCUACCAUGUUCCAAGUACAUUACAAAUAUACCAAAAUGAGGGAUCUUACAGGAGAAGAGAACAAGGCUCAGAGACUCUUCUUUCAACAAACGCUGGUAAAGCCCCUGCCCUGGGCAUUUUGUUACCCUUGACACGGGGGCUUCGGACCAACCCGACCCUCACCUACGCAGAGCAAUGAUGGUACAUCGACGAUGCUCCAACCUGACUGUCUGCAACCAAAGCAAAUGUCCACCCCUCGUCCUUCAUUGCUUGCUGGCUCUUUGUGGAUAAGAUUUUCCUGAGACAGGCAAAGACCUAAAAGGGCUGCUUCCGGCUCCCACUCCAAACACACAGUGGAGUCCCAUGUCUGUAGAUGGUCCUGCUGGAAUACCGGCCACUCAGCUGGGGAGGGUCCCGGCUCUCCUGCCUCCAGUGCAGUCUCCCCCCUGGAUGGUCCCAAGGUCUCCUGCUCCCAUGUCUUCUCUGCAUUCUGGGUGACCUUGGGUUGGCACGUCCACUGUUCCAGAGGCUUCCAUGGCUCCCCAGUGACUGUUGACUUCCAUUGGAGUCCUCGACUCAUGUCUCAGUCCUCCUCAGCUUACACCUUGGCCUUCUGCAUCCUGUCCCCCAUUCCUUCCUCCUGUGCUCUGGAUGCCCUGCAGGUAUGUGCUGUGUGCUCCCUGUGUGCCAGGCAGCGUCCCAGAGCUGCUGCUGAGCCAGGCUGAACCAGGAGGAGGAGCCUCUGCUCACAUGGGCCUUUGAGUCCUCUAUCCAUUCUCUGGUUAUUUAGGAGACGGUGGACUGGCAUCCCGGCCUCCAUUCCUGUGGCUCUGCUGGAGUCUCCUCUUGUCCCCCGAGGGUGAGGCUCAGCACACUUCCUUCAGGCACCCACGAGCCCUCACUGUUCUUGCCUCCACCGCCGUGGCCACCAGCUCCCAACCUGUGUCAGCUUCAGUCCAGCGCCCCAUCUUCCCCUGGCCUUGGAAGCACCAGCAGCCAGGCCAGUUGUCCAGUGGGGGUGACAUUUCUAGUGACACUACAUGAGAUCUUCCCGUGGAUCUUGCUUUCACUAGCUCCCAGGAGGGCCCCAUGGCUGCCCUGCAUCCCCAGGGAAUUACUCACCCAUCCUGGAGCACCCCUUUCAUUCCACCAGAGCUUACAAUUACCCACCACGAGCUACGUUGAGGACAUCGACUCUGCUUCCUUGGUAACGUUUUCUGGUUUCCAAAUGACCUCUCAUUGUACCUCUGAGUGUUGCCCUCACUGUUGGUUUCUGGAUCAUUAGCACCUGUGACCUGGGGCCCACCACAAGUAUUUGUUGACCAAGUGAAUGAGGACAUGUAGGAAAAGCUACCCUGAAGAAGGAACAUUUGAGCCGGGUCAUAAAAAAGGGGAGGAGAUUCCCAGCUGAAUAAAGGGCUGGGAAAGGCCAUUCCAGCAAAGGGUACGGCAUGAACAAAGGCUUGGGGGUGUGAGAGAAAGAGCUCGGGUAUUGGGGACACGGCGAGGUUCCCAUGGGUAUAAAGGUGAGAAGAGUGCAUCCUGAGAGUGAAGCCCCUGGAGACCGACAGUAAAAGGGGGACAAGUUGGAGAGGGCCUUGAAGCACACUGGACUUCAACCUGAGAGAGGUCAGUGGUGAGUUUUGAGAAAAGGAAUAACACCCUUUUAUUCAUUUAUGUUUGAGGUCCGUUACUGUGGGUGUGGGUAGAAUGUGGACUCAAGGAGAGAAGAGAGGAGAAUAUUUGGAAGACUCUUGUGAUAGCCUCUUUUAAAAUAUACAUUUAAUGAAGUUCCAAGUAAUGAUAAAGGACCAGCUAACCUAGAAAGCCACCGUGAUGGAGAGAAGAAUGGAUUUUCAAAUUAUUCUGUUAUUUACACAGAAUCAAAGAGGCUACCUCCCC